CAGUAGCCGCGGGAAUACGAAGGGGGCUAGCGUUGUUCGGAAUUACUGGGCGUAAAGGGCGCGUAGGCGGCCAUUCAAGUUAGAUGUGAAAGCCCUGGGCUCAACCUAGGAAUUGCAUUUGAUACUGUUUGGCUUGAGUUCGGGAGAGGUGAGUGGAAUUCCCAGUGUAGAGGUGAAAUUCGUAGAUAUUGGGAAGAACACCAGUGGCGAAGGCGGCUCACUGGACCGACACUGACGCUCAUGCACGAAAGCGUGGGGAGCAAACAGGAUUAGAUACCCCAGUAGUCCCUGUCUCUUAUAC
rnacentral:rRNA from 1 species